GACAGAGGAUGCAAGCGUUAUCCGGAAUGAUUGGGCGUAAAGCGUCUGUAGGUGGCUUUUUAAGUCCGCCGUCAAAUCCCAGGGCGCAACCCUGGACAGGCGGUGGAAACUACCAAGCUGGAGUACGAUAGGGGCAGAGGGAAUUUCCGGUGGAGCGGUGAAAUGCGUAGGGAUCGGAAAGAACACCAACGGCGAAAGCACUCUGCAGGGCCGACACUGACACUGAGAGACGAAAGCUAGGGGAGCGAAUGGG
rnacentral:rRNA from 1 species